CUUAUACUAAUUUUGCAAUUGUGUAAAUCCAUUGACCUGAGCAGAGUUAUUUUUGAUUGACACUAAUACAUGCUGGAGGAGAAUCAGGUUUUAAAUAUCUUUGAAGGCAGACAAGCUUGGAAAAAAUAGUCUUAUUUUUAAGCUCCAUAAUUGUGACGAUGUCCUUUUGUGCCAUGCUAUUCAUUUGUUAUUUGAAUUGUAUUUGUCAAACAGUCAUUCAGGUCAACUGGUUAUCUUCAGGCGUUUAUAGCAGCAGAGGGACCCUUCCUCUCUGAAAUCCUUCACUUUCUACUCUGUGAUGGAUCAAUGGGCAAAGCUAAAGGCUCGUCUGAGUUCAGCUUGAAUUGCUGAAGCAGCUUCCUGAAAAUGAUUCGAUGACUGAAUUUUUGAGAACAUUUUCAUAAAAAAAUUUUGGCCCAUUUACUGGCUUGGCUUUGGGCAGGAUUACAGCACAAAUUGCAACACUUCUUUUUCACUCUCAUAUGCGUGACAAGUAAUAAUUUACAAGCCUGUCCAAUGCAGUGGCCUUUCACAUACUUCAGAGGCUGUGGUCUCUAAAGCAACUUGCCAAAGCCCUUGCUAUGUAAAAACUUGUUGAGCAUACAUUCUGUACAUAUAUAUGUGUAUUAUAUAUGCAUUCUGCUUAUUGCAGUGAGUCAGCUUGAAAACCCAAAUGAAAAAAUCAGAUGUUGCACUGAUACAGUGACCUGUACUUUAAAA